rnacentral:rRNA from 1 species
CGUGUAGGCGGCCAGAUAGGUCUGCUGUGAAACUCGAGGCUCAACCUCGAGCUGUCGGCGGAAACCAUAUGGCUAGAGUCCGGAAGAGGAGAGUGGAAUUCCCGGUGUAGCGGUGAAAUGCGCAGAUAUCGGGAAGACACCUGUGGCGAAGGCGGCUCUCUGGGACGGUACUGACGCUGAGCGCGAAGCGUGGGAGCAAACA